GAAAUGCGAUAAGUAGUGUGAAUUGCAGAAUUCAGUGAAUCAUCGAAUCUUUGAACGCACAUUGCGCCCCUUGGUAUUCCAUGGGGCAUGCCUGUUCGAGCGUCAUUUGUACCCUCAAGCUCUGCUUGGUGUUGGGUGUUUGUCCCGUCUCCGCGCGUGGACUCGCCCCAAAGUGAUUGGCAGCCGGCGUACUGGUCCCGGAGCGCAGCACAUGUCGCGCAAACGAGUGCCUUGGUACGGCGGCGUCCAUAAGCCCCUCUCUCACGCUCUUGACCUCGGAUCAGGUAGGGAUACCCGCUGACCUUAAGC
rnacentral:misc_RNA from 1 species